rnacentral:lncRNA from 1 species
GUGCCAUAACUAGAUUUGCCAUUGCAAGCAAUAGCGGAUGGCACCCUUCCCCCAUUGCCAGGCGAGCGGCAGCCAUUUUGAAAAUUCCAAAAUCAUAGAGUGCAUCUACUCAUGCCAAUUGUCAAUUUUGUAAAGUUUCAUUAAGUUUGGAGAACUUUGAAAGUUUUGAAAUUUUUGCUGUUCCCAUGGUAACGGCGGCCAUUUUGAAUAUUCCAAAGUCAAACCCCCGCUGCAAUUUUUUCCCUCCAUAAUCAUAUAUACCAUCAUAUACCAUUUGAUGUCUCUAGAAUACAUUUAACAUUGAUGUUCUGGAAUGUUCUGUGAAAAUUC